rnacentral:ncRNA from 1 species
AUAAAAGCAAUGAUAAAGAGGAGUAAGGAAUACAAUAUAUAAAGAGAAUGAAGGUCAUCGGCUGAAAGCCUUCUAUAUUAGAGUAUCCUGAAGGUAGCUUUUGAGCAUCUUUACUGAACUAAAGUAAGUAAAGGCGGCUUUCUUAGUCGUUAAUAAAUAAAGAGCUUAAUAUAAAAAAAAUUAUAUUAAGAAAAAAGGUGGUACCGCGAGUCUUCGUCCUUUUG